rnacentral:rRNA from 1 species
AGACGAACCGUACGAACGUUAUUCGGAAUCACUGGGCUUAAAGGGUGCGUAGGCUGUGCGGAAAGUUGGGUGUGAAAUCCCUCGGCUCAACCGAGGAACCGCGCCCAAAACUACCGUGCUGGAGGAAGACAGAGGUGAGCGGAACUUAGGGUGGAGCGGUGAAAUGCGUUGAUAUCCUAAGGAACACCGGUGGCGAAAGCGGCUCACUGGGUCUUUUCUGACGCUGAUGCACGAAAGCUAGGGUAGCGAACGGGA